rnacentral:rRNA from 1 species
GAUGAACGCUGGCGGCGUGCCUAAUACAUGCAAGUCGAGCGAACAGACGAGGAGCUUGCUCCUCUGACGUUAGCGGCGGGCGGGUGAGUAACACGUGGAUAACCUACCUAUAAGACUGGGAUAACUUUGGGAAACCGGAGCUAAUACCGGAUAAUAUAUUGAACCGCAUGGUUCAAUAGUGAAAGACGGUUUUGCUGUCACUUAUAGAUGGAUCCGCGCCGCAUUAGCUAGUUGGUAAGGUAACGGCUUACCAAGGCGACGAUGCGUAGCCGACCUGAGAGGGUGAUCGGCCACACUGGAACUGAGACACGGUCCAGACUCCUACGGGAGGCAGCAGUAGGGAAUCUUCCGCAAUGGGCGAAAGCCUGACGGAGCAACGCCGCGUGAGUGAUGAAGGUCUUCGGAUCGUAAAACUCUGUUAUUAGGGAAGAACAAAUGUGUAAGUAACUAUGCACGUCUUGACGGUACCUAAUCAGAAAGCCACGGCUAACUACGUG